ACGAACGCUGGCGGCGUGCUUCACACCUGCCAGUCGAACGGAAAGGCCCCCACCUUGGUGGGGGUGCUCGAGUGGCGAACGGGUGAGUAACACGUGGGUGAUCUGCCCUGUACUUCGGGAUAAGCUUGGGAAACUGGGUCUAAUACCGGAUAGGACCAUGGUUUAGUGUCUCAUGGUGGAAAAAUUAUUGUUUUGGUGCAGGAUGAGCUCGCGGCCUAUCAGCUUGUUGGUGGGGUAAUGGCCUACCAAGGCGUCGACGGGUAGCCGGCCUGAGAGGGUGGACGGCCACAUUGGGACUGAGAUACGGCCCAGACUCCUACGGGAGGCAGCAGUGGGGAAUAUUGCACAAUGGGCGCAAGCCUGAUGCAGCGACGCCGCGUGGGGGAUGACGGCCUUCGGGUUGUAAACUCCUUUCGUUAGGGACGAAGCCACACCUUUUUUGGGUGUGGUGACGGUACCUUUGUUAAGAAGCACCGGCUAACUACGUG
rnacentral:rRNA from 1 species